UACAGAGGUCUCAAGCGUUGUUCGGAUUCAUUGGGUGUAAAGGGUGUGUAGGUGGCGCCGUAAGUCGGGUGUGAAAAUUUCGGAGCUUAACUCCGAAACUGCAUUCCAUACUGCGGUGCUUGAGGACUGGAGAGGAGACUGGAAUUCAUGGUGUAGCAGUAGAAAUGCGUAGAGAUCAUGAGGAAGACCAGUGGCGAAGGCGGGUCUCUGGACAGUUCCUGACACUGAGGCACGAAGGCCAGGGGAGCAAACGGG
rnacentral:rRNA from 1 species